rnacentral:rRNA from 1 species
GAUGAACGCUGGCGGCGUGCUUAACACAUGCAAGUCGAACGAUGAUGCCCAGCUUGCUGGGUGGAUUAGUGGCGAACGGGUGAGUAACGCGUGGGUGAUCUGCCUCGUACUUCGGGAUAAGCCUGGGAAACUGGGUCUAAUACCGGAUAGGACUGCAUCGUAAGGGUGUGGUGGAAAGUUUUUUCGGUACGAGAUGAGCCUGCGGCCUAUCAGCUUGUUGGUGGGGUAAUGGCCUACCAAGGCGUCGACGGGUAUCCGGCCUGAGAGGGUGUACGGACACAUUGGGACUGAGAUACGGCCCAGACUCCUACGGGAGGCAGCAGUGGGGAAUAUUGCACAAUGGGCGAAAGCCUGAUGCAGCGACGCCGCGUGGGGGAUGACGGCCUUCGGGUUGUAAACUCCUUUCGUCAGGGACGAAGCCCUUCGGGGUGACGGUACCUGGAUAAGAAGCACCGGCUAACUACGUGCCAGCAGCCGCGGUAAUACGUAGGGUGCGAGCGUUGUCCGGAAUUACUGGGCGUAAAGAGCUCGUAGGUGGUUUGUCGCGUCGUCUGUGAAAUUCCGGGGCUCAACUCCGGAUGGGCAGGCGAUACGGGCAUAACUUGAGUGCUGUAGGGGAGACUGGAAUUCCUGGUGUAGCGGUGAAAUGCGCAGAUAUCAGGAGGAACACCGAUGGCGAAGGCAGGUCUCUGGGCAGUUACUGACGCUGAGGAGCGAAAGCAUGGGUAGCGAACAGG